rnacentral:misc_RNA from 1 species
UCUCCGUAGGUGAACCUGCGGAGGGAUCAUUACAGAGUUCAUGCCCUACCGGGUAGAUCUCCCACCCUAUGUUAUUAUUACCUUGUUGCUUUGGCGGGCCGUUAGGCUCCGGCCCGACUACCGGCCCCGGCUGGUAAGCGCCCGCCAGAGGACCCAAAACCCUGAAUAUUAGUGUCGUCUGAGUACUAUAUAAUAGUUAAGACUUUCAACAACGGAUCUCUUGGUUCUG